AGUCAAGUAAUUAAGUGCAUGUGGUGGAUGCCUUGGCAGUCAGAGGCGAUGAAAGACGUGAUAGCCUGCGAAAAGCUCCGGGAGGCGGCAAAUAUCCUUUGAUCCGGAGAUGUCUGAAUGGGGGAACCCACCUACUUUAAGGUAGGUAUUGCAACAUGAAUACAUAGUGUUGCAAGGCGAACGAGGGGAAGUGAAACAUCUCAGUACCCUUAGGAAAAGAAAUCAAUUGAGAUUCCCUCAGUAGCGGCGAGCGAACGGGGAUCAGCCCAUUAAGUUAUGUGUGUUUUAGUGGAACGCUCUGGGAAGUGCGAACGUAGAGGGUGAUAUUCCCGUACACGAAAGGGCACACAUAAUGAUGACGAGUAGGGCGAGGCACGUGAAACCUUGUCUGAAUAUGGGGGGACCAUCCUCCAAGGCUAAAUACUCCUGACUGACCGAUAGUGAACCAGUACCGUGAGGGAAAGGCGAAAAGAACCCCUGUGAGGGGAGUGAAAUAGAUCCUGAAACCGCAUGCAUACAAGCAGUGGGAGCACCUUCGUGGUGUGACUGCGUACCUUUUGUAUAAUGGGUCAGCGACUUAUAUUCAGUAGCGAGGUUAACCGUAUAGGGGAGCCGUAGAGAAAUCGAGUCUUAAUAGGGCGUUUAGUUGCUGGGUAUAGACCCGAAACCAGGCGAUCUAUCCAUGAGCAGGUUGAAGGUUGGGUAACACUAACUGGAGGACCGAACCCACUGUCGUUGAAAAGCCAGGGGAUGACUUGUGGAUAGGGGUGAAAGGCUAAUCAAGCCUGGUGAUAGCUGGUUCUCCCCGAAAGCUAUUUAGGUAGCGCCUCGGACGAAUACCAUAGGGGGUAGAGCACUGUUUCGGCUAGGGGGUCAUCCCGACUUACCAAACCGAUGCAAACUCCGAAUACCUAUGAGUACUAUCCGGGAGACAGACUGCGGGUGCUAACGUCCGUAGUCAAGAGGAAAACAAUCCAGACCGCCAGCUAAGGCCCCAAAAUCAUAGUUAAGUGGGAAACGAUGUGGGAAGGCAUAGACAGCUAGGAGGUUGGCUUAGAAGCAGCCACCCUUUAAAGAAAGCGUAAUAGCUCACUAGUCGAGUCGGCCUGCGCGGAAGAUGUAACGGGGCUAAAACUAUGUGCCGAAGCUGCGGAUGUAUACUUUGUAUACGUGGUAGGGGAGCGUUCUGUAAGCCGAUGAAGGUGUGUUGAGAAGCAUGCUGGAGGUAUCAGAAGUGCGAAUGCUGACGUGAGUAACGACAAAACGGGUGAAAAACCCGUUCGCCGAAAGACCAAGGGUUCCAGUCCAACGUUAAUCGGGGCUGGGUGAGUCGACCCCUAAGGCGAGGCCGAAAGGCGUAGUCGAUGGGAAAAUGGUUAAUAUUCCAUUACUUCUGUGUAAUGCGAUGAGAGGACGGAGAAGGCUAAAUCAGCCUGGCGUUGGUUGUCCAGGUGAAAGGAUGUAGGCAUGUAUCUUAGGCAAAUCCGGGGUACUCUAUGCUGAGAUCUGAUAGCAAGCUGUACUUGUACAGCGAAGUGGUUGAUGCCAUGCUUCCAGGAAAAGUCUCUAAGCUUCAGUUACACAGGAAUCGUACCCGAAACCGACACAGGUGGUCAGGUCGAGUAGACCAAGGCGCUUGAGAGAACUCUGCUGAAGGAACUAGGCAAAAUGGUACCGUAACUUCGGGAGAAGGUACGCUGUUGUUGGUGAUGGAACUCGCUUCCUGAGCUGACGACAGCCGCAGAAACCAGGCCGCUGCAACUGUUUAUUAAAAACAUAGCACUCUGCAAACACGAAAGUGGACGUAUAGGGUGUGAUGCCUGCCCGGUGCUGGAAGGUUAAUUGAUGGGGUUAGCGUAAGCGAAGCUCUUGAUCGAAGCCCCAGUAAACGGCGGCCGUAACUAUAACGGUCCUAAGGUAGCGAAAUUCCUUGUCGGGUAAGUUCCGACCUGCACGAAUGGCAUAAUGAUGGCGGCGCUGUCUCCAGCAGAGGCUCAGUGAAAUCGAAAUCGCUGUGAAGAUGCAGUGUACCCGCGGCUAGACGGAAAGACCCCGUGAACCUUUACUGCAGCUUGACACUGAACUUUGACCUUACUUGUGUAGGAUAGGUGGGAGGCUUUGAAGCUGGAACGCUAGUUCCAGUGGAGCCGUCCUUGAAAUACCACCCUGGUAAUGUUGAGGUUCUAACUCUGUCCCGUGAUCCGGGACGAGGACCGUGUCUGGUGGGUAGUUUGACUGGGGCGGUCUCCUCCUAAAGAGUAACGGAGGAGUACGAAGGUGCGCUCAGCGUGGUCGGAAAUCACGCGUAGAGUAUAAAGGCAAAAGCGCGCUUAACUGCGAGACCCACAAGUCGAGCAGGUACGAAAGUAGGUCUUAGUGAUCCGGUGGUUCUGUAUGGAAGGGCCAUCGCUCAACGGAUAAAAGGUACUCUGGGGAUAACAGGCUGAUACCGCCCAAGAGUUCAUAUCGACGGCGGUGUUUGGCACCUCGAUGUCGGCUCAUCUCAUCCUGGGGCUGAAGCAGGUCCCAAGGGUAUGGCUGUUCGCCAUUUAAAGAGGUACGCGAGCUGGGUUUAGAACGUCGUGAGACAGUUCGGUCCCUAUCUACCGUGGGCGCUGGAAAUUUGAGAGGAUCUGCUCCUAGUACGAGAGGACCAGAGUGGACGAACCUCUGGUGUACCGGUUGUGACGCCAGUCGCAUCGCCGGGUAGCUAUGUUCGGAAGGGAUAACCGCUGAAAGCAUCUAAGCGGGAAGCCUACCUCAAGAUAAGAUUUCCCUAGGACUUUAUGUCCUCUAAAGAGCCGUUCGAGACUAGGACGUUGAUAGGUUGGAUGUGGAAGCAUAGUGAUAUGUGAAGCUGACCAAUACUAAUUGCUCGUGAGGCUUGACUAU
rnacentral:rRNA from 1 species